rnacentral:rRNA from 1 species
UGAAAUCCCCCGGCUCAACCUGGGAGCUGCAUUCGAAACUGGCGAGCUAGAGUCGUGUAGAGGGGGGUAGAAUUCCACGUGUAGCGGUGAAAUGCGUAGAGAUCUGGAGGAACACCGGUGGCGAAGGCGGCCCCCUGGACUGAGACUGACGCUCAGGUGCGAAAGCGUGGGGAGCAAACAGGAUUAGAUACCCUGGUAGUCCACGCCGUAAACGAUGUCUAUUUGGAGGUUGAGCCCUUGAGGCCUGGCUUCCUGAGCUAACGCGUUUAAUCAACCGCCUGGGGAAUACCGGCCCCAGGAUAGAACUCCAAUGAAUUGGCCGGGGCCCCCACCAGCCGUGGAACCUGUGGUUUAAUUCCAUGCCACCCCAAAAACCCUACCUGGGCUUGGCCUCCCCCGGACUUUCCUGAAAUGGAUUGGUGCCUUCUCGAACUGCGAAACGAGUGCUGCAUGGCUGUCGUCAGCUCCUGUUG